rnacentral:rRNA from 1 species
CGUAGGGUGCGAGCGUUAAUCGGAAUUGCUGGGCGUAAAGCGUGCGCAGGCGGUUUAGUAAGACAGGCGUGAAAUCCCCGGGCUCAACCUGGGAACUGCGCUUGUGACUGCUAAGCUAGAGUACGGCAGAGGGGGGUGGAAUUCCACGUGUAGCAGUGAAAUGCGUAGAGAUGUGGAGGAACACCAAUGGCGAAGGCAGCCCCCUGGGUCGAUACUGACGCUCAUGCACGAAAGCGUGGGUAGCAAACAGGAUUAGAUACCCUGGUAGUCCACGCCCUAAACGAUGUCAACUAGGUGUUGGGAGGGUAAAACCUUUUAGUACCGGAGCUAACGCGUGAAGUUGACCGCCUGGGGAGUACGGCCGCAAGGUUA